rnacentral:misc_RNA from 1 species
GAUGAAGAACGUAGUGAAAUGCGAUAAGUAAUGUGAAUUGCAGAAUUCAGUGAAUCAUCGAAUCUUUGAACGCACAUUGCGCCCCUUGGUAUUCCGAGGGGCAUGCCUGUUCGAGCGUCAUUUCAACCCUCAAGCCCCGCUUGGUGUUGGGCCCCGCCCGCCGUGGCCGGCCCUAAAGACAGUGGCGGCGCCGCCUGGCCCUCAGCGUAGUACAGCUCUCGCUCCAGGGUCCGGCGGCCGCCUGCCAGAACCCCCCCAACUCUGUGGUUGACCUCGGAUCAGGUAGGGAUACCCGCUGAACUUAAGCAUAUCAAUAAGCGGAGGA